rnacentral:rRNA from 1 species
UACGGGGGGGGCAAGCGUUGUUCGGAAUUACUGGGCGUAAAGGGCUUGUAGGUGGCCAACUAAGUCAGACGUGAAAUCCCUCAGCUUAACUGGGGAACUGCGUCUGAUACUGGAUGGCUUGAGAUUGGGAGAGGGACGCGGAAUUCCAGGUGUAGCGGUGAAAUGCGUAGAUAUCUGGAGGAACACCGGUGGCGAAGGCGGCGUCCUGGACCAACACUGACACUGAAAAGCGAAAGCCAGGGGAGCAAACAGG